UACGUAGGGUGCGAGCGUUAAUCGGAAUUACUGGGCGUAAAGGGCGCGUAGGUUGUUGAGUAAGUUAUCUGUGAAAUUCCUGGGCUCAACCUGGGGAGGUCAGAUGAUACUGUUUAACUGGAGUAUGGGAGAGGGUAGUGGAAUUUCCGGUGUAGCGGUGAAAUGCGUAGAGAUCGGAAGGAACACCAGUGGCGAAGGCGGCUACCUGGCCUAAUACUGACACUGAGGCACGAAAGCGUGGGGAGCAAACAGG
rnacentral:rRNA from 1 species